rnacentral:rRNA from 1 species
CCUAACACAUGCAAGUCGAACGCGGUUAUCCAGCAAUGGAUGACUGAGUGGCGAACGGGUGAGUAACACGUGGGUGACCUACCUUCGAGUGGGGGAUAACGUCCCGAAAGGGACGCUAAUACCGCAUGACAUCCUGCCUUUGAACAGGCGGUGAUCAAAGCCGGGGACCGUAAGGCCCGGCGCUUGAUGAGGGGCUCGCGUCUGAUUAGCUAGUUGGUGAGGUAACGGCCCACCAAGGCGACGAUCAGUAUCCGGCCUGAGAGGGCGGACGGACACACUGGGACUGAGACACGGCCCAGACUCCUACGGGAGGCAGCAGUGGGGAAUUGUUCACAAUGGGCGCAAGCCUGAUGACGCAACGCCGCGUGGAGGAUGAAGGUCUUCGGAUUGUAAACUCCUGUUGCCCGGGACGAAAAGCUCUGACCUAACACGUCGGAGUCUGACGGUACCGGGUGAGGAAGCCCCGGCUAACUCUGUGCCAGCAGCCGCGGUAAUACAGAGGGGGCAAGCGUUGUUCGGAAUUACUGGGCGUAAAGGGCGCGUAGGCGGCCUUCUAAGUCGAACGUGAAAUCCCUGGGCUUAACCCAGGAACUGCGUCCGAUACUGGAAGGCUUGAAUCCGGGAGAGGGAUGCGGAAUUCCAGGUGUAGCGGUGAAAUGCGUAGAUAUCUGGAGGA